UCUUUGUAAAUUGGUCUCAUUUUUAGUUCUCUCUCUUUUCUAAAGAUUUUCUCUUGCUCAGCUCUGCAGUUCUUUCUCUCUCCGAGUUUGGAAAGUGAAGUUGCUUCAGGGGCACAGAGGAACACUGUUGCGAUUUAAAAUAUGAGGAUAGUGUACAACUUGAACACCUGGAAAAUUGCGGAGGAUUCCUUUGGGGACAGCAUUGGCUCAUGCCAAAGAAAACUCUCCUAUUAACUUGGAGCCAAUCUAGAAGAAAUUUUAGAGAGCCAUACUUACAGCUUUGUUUAUCCCUUCAUCCAUGAGGGAUCCAAUACUCGCUACAUGCUUGUUUCGAGAAUCGGAGAAAAUAAGAUACCAGUUUUUUGCGGUUCCAUGGUCUUGGCAAAACCAAGAUUACUUCAUUUGUGAAAUAGGACUCAAAAUGUUAUCUUGUGAAUUGCUUACAAGUUAAGACAAUGAGAAGUUUUGCCCAUUGCUAACAAGAAAAAUAAAAUCAGAAAUUUGAAUUAA